rnacentral:rRNA from 1 species
UACGAAGGGGGCUAGCGUUGCUCGGAAUCACUGGGCGUAAAGCGCACGUAGGCGGAUUGCUAAGUCAGGGGUGAAAUCCUGGAGCUCAACUCCAGAACUGCCUUUGAUACUGGCAAUCUCGAGUCCGGGAGAGGUGAGUGGAACUGCGAGUGUAGAGGUGAAAUUCGUAGAUAUUCGCAAGAACACCAGUGGCGAAGGCGGCUCACUGGCCCGGUACUGACGCUGAGGCACGAAAGCGUGGGGAGCAAACAGG